UACUUUUACAUUUUUGUCUGGAGCACAAAGGAAAUGAAUAUACGAUUACAAGUCAUGUAUAAACCAACAUGAUUACAAGUCUAAAUAUUGAGUGACAUCCUUCCUUCUAAAUAAAGUGAACUUAACAUUUUGUAGGACUAAAUGUUCCAAACUAAAACGUUGGAUAUGUUAUUUCUCUUCACUGUGUCAAUUUUAGGUCUUUUUCCUUUAUAUCAUAUGCAGGAUGGUCCUUGCCGUGAUAAUAGGAACCAUGGUUGUUGUUCAGGUACCUCCUGGAACGAUCAACUACAGAAAUGUACUGAUUGUGCUGCAGGAUAUAUUGGAAUCGAUUGUGGGGAAUCAUGUGAAUAUCCAUAUUACGGCCUACAUUGUACAAAUGUGUGCGAUUGUGCUGAAAGCAACUGUAAUGCUGCAAAUGGCUGUCAAGACACAGGUACAUGUCAGCAUUUUUAUUUUCCG